UUAGCGCACACUGAAUUAAUGCUAUUGUUUAUUGUCUAUCAACAUGUCAAUCACCUGUUUACUCUGUGCCAACCACAUGACCCGGUGAGCAUCCCUUCAAUCUUGUGCUAUGCUGAUGCAAAUGGGAACGUUUAACACUCCUGGGGUUUCUUAGCACCCUAAUCAGUGGCUUCGGGCUAAGGCAGGGUAGGCACUUGGUACUCUUUCUGGUUUCAUACACUCCCUCUUAAAACCUUUCAAUGGUAACGCCAUGUCUCAGAAAAUGCAGUGUGCUUCUGUGCCAACCUAGCUUCAGCCAGAUCCCUGUUCUCCUGGUCAGGUUGCAACUCCAGACCUCUGUCUAAUAACAUUAGGAGCAUGGAUGGGCCAGACAAUGAAGCGUGCUGGAGGAGCUCAGUGUUACCCUGUGGAUGUCAUCAAAUUUUGUUUCUGUGGGAACACAGACAGAAGAGACGAGAAAUGCAGAAGCUAUUCCAGAGGCUUCUGCACUUAGGAGAAAGGCUCUGCUAGCAUAGAGAGCUCUGCAUCCAGUAGAAUAUGCUCAUGUAUGUAUUACACUAAAGGAGAGAAGGGUGGAAGAUAGGGCAGCUUUAAUGAAGCUAAUGGGCUUAGAAAAGGCAGUACGAGGAAGUUCCAAUGACAUUUUACAGGAAUGGAUUACACAUAAGGAUGAGGCAGGAGAAUUUGAGAGCCGGGAGCAUAAAGGCAGAGGUUGCCUGGGUGGGAAUUGGGACUCCAGGCGAGGGCAGAGACAGUGCAGAGUCCUCAGCCACAUGCGGUUCGUUCCUCUUCAAGGUAGCUGGAGCCAGCUUUGCCGCUGCCCCCAGCGAGUCAGCUGGCUGGUGGGUUGGCUGACAGGGGUGUUGCGCGCUGAAUUUCUUUCCAAGGAGGAGGAGAAGAUGGCAGCUCUUCUAUACAUCACCCUCCGCCACCUGCCAAGGAGGCGAGACACCGCUGUGGAGAAAACAGCUUUUACUCAUUCCUUUGUAUCGGGGCCUGAAUACAAGCCAGGAGCGGUGGGGUUUGGUUAAUAAGCUAGCUGGAAAUCAUGCUAAUGGGAGUGCUAUUGCUGGGAGCCCUCCAGGCUGGGGAGGGUGUGAUUGAAUGUUGAGGUUCUCGAGGAGCACCCCCACCCCCACCCCUGUCCAUUCUCACAGCCAUCCUAGCACAAUCACAUCGGCCUGGCUGGAUUCGAGCAGCAACAGUGACAGGGAGGGACAAGCAGAGGCUAGAAUGAGAAUCACCGUGAGGUCUUUCUGUGAUGGGGUUAUUGCAGGGCUCCAGGGAGUACUAGCUGUUGCCACAGAAUCGCUAAAGGGUGGGAGGCGAAGGGCCUUAGGCUCCGAAAGAAAAGAACCAGCGCCACCUGCAAGCUCAGCUCUUCCCGACAGGACAAGGUGGUGUUCCCUUGGAACAAUGUCUUCUCAAUAUGACCAAAUUCUAUACCGUACACAAAGGGCCCAUCGUACGCAGAAGGGUUUCUUCCAGCCUGGCAGACAUUGGGGUUUGACAUCGCCCGCCCUCUGCCUGACCCUUGUGUGUACUGGUCCGGGUUGGCUCGGAUCUGAGUUCCUUGCCGCUCCCACUAUUCCUGUCUCCUACAGAACCUCUUAUACUGUAUGAUGCGUCUCAGACAGGAGUGUCUGUGGGACUUGGGUUUUGCUGGAGGCAGAAGAGGUAGAAGGCUCCAGAGAAGCGCGGAGAGGCAAUCAGACUCUUAAUAAACCUCCGGGGUUUACUAAGCCAUCCUCAGGGACAACGGGCAGCUCUCCUUUUCUGCCUCUCCUCUUCCACCUUGCCCUAAAUUCGUGUCGGCACCCCCAUCCCCCUUUGGCUCACUCCUCUGCCUUGGUGACUAGUAGGUUUAUGAGUCCAACAGACUUAAGAGAACACUUGUGUUUUUUAAGGCAUGGCUGGCCGCUCCCUCCUGAGUCAUUGCCCUGCCCAACGGCCUUUGGUGAGUUGGGAGGAGAAGGGGAGACUAACAACACGAAGAAUCUUUAGCCUGGAGAGCUAUUUCCUCGUGGCAAAUCACGGUGCGGUGAUCAGUGUAUAAUAAGCUGGGACUUUUCCAAGGCGAGCCAGUUCGCAGCGUCAGCAUUGCCUGGGUCUGAGCAGGCACCAAGGAUGUACUGAGGCUCUGAGGUCGUGCACUUUUUUUUCUGAGGGCCCACGAUGGCUUUGCUGCGGCAGCCUGCUUGAUAAAGAAACAUCUUUCCCAAGUCAUGUUUCAUCCGGUUCAAUAGAUGCCCUUGGGCUUAACGGAUCCGAGUGCUUUCUUGGGCAAAUCAGUCCGCGUGGAGAGUGCUAAAUCAAACCGUGUUCACUUCUUUCACGGUUCACAGUCACCAAACUGUACAAGUGGGCCUGUGAGCAUGCUUACAGAUUAGAGGCUUCUCUCUAAAGGACCCCGUGAGAAGAGAAGUACAAUCCUUUGGCAAACUCCUUGCUUUCUGUCCUUUCAGAAAACGGAUCCAUUUGGGAGACAAGGCUCAUGUAUCCAAACACUGCGCCUCCAUCCUGCCAGCCGAGCGGACCUGUGGCUUUAUUCAUAAUGUAUUUACACAGCCCAGCAACCAUUGAAGAUGCCUGUUUAAUGAAAUGCUGGGCUUGUAUUCGAAUGGCACGAUUGGGAGUCAUUAUGAGUAAAUACGUGUACAGAUUUAUUUUCCUUCCCCCAGAGGUCCCUCAAAGGUCCCUGAAGGUAAAUAUUUGCACGGUGCCCAAUUUGUAUUUCCCCAGCCUAAUUUUGUUACUGAGGUAAGUAAGAGCCUAGCCUUCUUCCACCUAGCUUGUUAACAUGCACAGAGACACUUCCCUCUCUGCUGCCUGUGGCAUUCUAACUGCCGGGAGACAGCGCCCAGGCUGGGCCCGCAGCCACUUAACCAACUUAGUACAGCCGUGGGCUUGCUGGGUCCUGAGUGACUGUUCCUGCUUUGGAGUAGUGAGUGUGCAUCUGAUGAAAUAAUGCUUAUGUUCAGGAAGUGCAGUCCAGUGUGGAUCUACAUGGCUGUCCCAGCAUUGGGGAAUGCGGGGGUGGUGGACAUAAAUUCUCAAGAAUCCUGAGAAACUAAAAUCUCUAGAAUUCUCAGAGUACUUUUUAGGAAGUAGAGCAAAACUCCCGCUCCCAUCAUCUGGUUUUCCUUCAGAGUCUUAAUAAAUAUUCCAAAAUCAACCAGGGCUUGCUAAGUCCAGGGUUAAUUUUUUUUUUUUUUUUUUUUUAGUUAACAGUAAAAAGACAAGGAGUUGUAGAAUGCUAUUAAUAUAUACAUUUUCUUGAACUGCAAAUUAGGAGAUGAAACAAGGUUUACUUCAUAAAAGAUACAAUUCGUAAUUUUAGAACCCUCAGCCUAAACUGGGGUUAAGAAGCGGCCUUGAGAAUCUAUUUUAUGGUUCAGUAGUUGAGUGGGGCAGACACGUUAGAAAUUGGUGUGUGAAAAAAAUUUACGUUUUCAACUUGGACUCCAGUAUAAGGCGGGUAGUACUGUAGCCUACAAAAUGCUAUCAAAACGUGUCUGUAGAUUUGAACUCGGCACACAGAUACUAGGCUAGACCGUGGUUCCCUGUUUUGGGGAUCUGGAAAAGAUUAUGACAGUUUCGAAUGACAGUCGUAUAGGACGAGCAGCUAAGUUCCUGUGAGUGGGCCUGGCUACCGCAUGGGGCAAGAUCCAACUGCUGGUUUUCAGGCCAUUGUGGGAAACUCAGGACGGAAAGUCCCAGUGAACACUUUUUCUGCUCCUUGGGAAACUUACAGCCUCUGUAAGGGGGUCAUCCCCAAAUGGGAAGAGGGGAGUGCAGAAGGCCAGAGAAUUUUUUUUUUUUUUUGAGAAACUGGCAGUCCAGCAGACAUUCCGGCGCCAGCAGGACACUUCUGGAACUGAAGGUCUUUGUACCAGGAAUAAAACUGUACUUCUUCCUUGAAGGAAAGGGAGUCCUGCCUCUUGGAAGCCGUUGGUGGGACCCGGGUAUGGAGGCUUGGGGAAAGGGCCUGCGGACUAGAGAGUAGAGAGAGGAAACCUCUCCAGGGCAAAACAAGCUCAUAGGUUUUGGAAGCUGACAGUGAAAAAACCUCUUUACGGUGAUACUGACCGGACGCUUUAUUUAGAAACGCGCAGGAAGGGUUGCAUUCUUCUGCCUUAGGAUAGGCGAUGGAAUGAAAGCAUUCCCGGGAGGAAACCUGGAACAUCCCUAGAGUGCAGAAUUGGUGGGUUCACUUAGAUCCUACAGAGAAGAUCCGCAGCUGGCAUCUGGGCCACACAUUUUUACAUAAUGUCUGCACAGAUAUCCAUCCUUCAAACUCGCAAUGCAGUAGGCUUCCCAAGCAACUCCACGGAUUCUGUUUUCAGGGAUAUGGGAAAGAGAAGGAUUAUCUCAGAUGAGAGGUAUGGGCGGCUUUGAGGAAGGCAGGGAGCCAGGUUGCGUCGUCCGGCGUGGAGUGUGGCCAGCGGUGGGCAGCUGCGCAGCGAGGGCUCCGCAACGCUGUCAGGAGUGGGCGUCGCAGGGAGAGCCGCGCUCUAGGACAGCUGGCGCCUCCAUAGCAGCACUGAGAACGCUGACAGGUUCUGCAAAUAACAGCUGCGGAACAAUCUUUCUGUUUGGACAACGUGGGAAGGGCCAUUGUUCACAAAUUGGUCUCUUCAAUAACACCUGCGUGCACAGUUAAUAAUCUGUUGUCGGUCUCCCCCGGCUUUCAAAGACAAAAGACAGCAGCGGAGGGAGGAGCGAGAGGUGACUGGAGAGAGCAGAGCAACUUGGGAACCUGGCAGGGUGCAAGUGAGGACUCCGGGUCCUGUUCCUGGAUCCAUCUCUGUUGUUCGCGGCGGGUUCGCUUUCAUUCGCCUCUACCGCCUUUUAUCUUUGCAGGCCACCAACAUCGCAGCCGCAAGCGUCAUUUCCUAUGCAGUUGCUAAGCGCCCUUCCUUGCAAGUCAGCGGUCAAUACUGCUAAAGUGGCCCCGGGAUAGGAAAGGUCACACGUGUGUAAGUAAAGCGAAAGGUUUAUGAGACGCAGGUGGCUCACACUCCUCCGAGAUCGCAGGAUUAGCAUGUCAAAGCCAAAAUGAAACGGAAGUAUGCGAGCACCUCCUCCCGUGUGCACAAUGCUUUGCAAAUUUAGAAUGGUAUUCUCCCUUGCACUCUCCCAUUCAAGCCCCAAUCACAACAGCGUGAAGUCGGCUCCAAUACAAGCUAUACCCUAACAGAAGAGAAGCCAAGCGACCAAGUGGGGACUUGGCUCUUGUGUUUGGUAGCUCACAUCCUGUGUCAUGUGUCUUCCCUACACUACUUUGGAGUAGUGUGGAGUAAUUCGCAUUUUGUUUUGGCCCUUUCCCUACCUUUCCUACCAGGUCUAAGAUUAGGUGAUAUGUUCAUGGAGACAUCGGACUGUAUCUUUCCCACCCUUUCUGUACUCUACUGUCCAACAUGGUGUGUCUGGUCAUGGUGAUUAAUAGGGUUCAAGUUCUGUUCCCAGUCCUGACAGCAACUGGCUUACAACUGCAUGUAACUCUGGCUGCAGGGGUCUUAUGGGUCUGGGGCACAUGCACUCAUGUACACAUACACAAACACAAAUUUAAAUAAAAUAAAUAUUUUUAAAAUAUGAAAUGAAAUGCUAGCCACAUUGUAACUACUGAAUAGCCCCGGGGGAGGUAGUGCACACUUUUAGCACUGGGGAGGUAGAGGCAAGCAGAGCUCUGUGAGUUCAAGGCUAGCCUAGUCUACAAAGUCUAGUCUAGUCUACAUCCAGGGCUACAUAAAAAGACCCAGUCUCAAGCAAAGCAAAGCAAAACAAAACAAAACAAAGAAAAGCCAUGCUUGGAAGGCAGAGGCAGAGGCAGAGGCAGAGGCAGAGGCAGAGGCAGAGGCAGAGGCAGAGGCAGAGGCAGAGGCAGAGGCAGAGGCAGAGGCAGAGGCAGAGGCAGAGGCAGAGGCAGAGGCAGAGGCAGAGGCAGAGGCAGAGGCAGAGGCAGGUGGGUCUAUGUGAGAUGGAGGCCAGUCUGGUCUACUACAGAGCUAGUUCCAGGAGAGCCAGGGCUACAUAGAGAAACCUUAUCUCAAAAACACAAAAACACAAAAACUAAACAAAAACAAUAUGCAUGUGUAAAAUAGCCAUAAUGAAUCCUAUAACAUAUGCUAAUAAAAUUAUUAAAACAUCAUUCUAUAUGAAAAUCUGAGAUAAAUAGUGUUAACUCUAGUAAAUUAUGUGUUUGACCCGAACAGUAAAAACUACAAAAUACUGCUUAGAGAAAGUUUAAGACUUAAAUGCAUUCUAUGCUCAUGGGUUAGAAAAACUUGAUUGUUGCAGUAAAUUUAAAUAAAUAAUGAUCCUCGACCUGGUUCCUGAGAGUUCCCAUUGUCGAGGAUCCACGCACUCUAGCUGUUUCUCUGUUACCGCUUUCACACACCGUCCCCUUGGUGGUUGUUACCACGCCUGAGACUCACAUAGCGUUCCGUGGGCGGUGCUAGCAUGGCCCCACACCAUGCUAGCCCCAAGCAUUCUACAGACUAGCACGGCUUUCUGUCACAAACUCUGUUCACACUCCCAACAUCCAGUGAAAUCAUUACUCAGCAAACUGGAACCCAACAACCAGAUUUACGUGUUAAAUGCUCAAUGUACAAUACAUCCACACAAUUAACUUACAACCAAUUGAUAAGGUAUAAUCGCCCACUUAAACAUACAAAGCCCUGUACAUAUCUUCAUCCCUUAGACUAUUUGUAACAACCUAUAAAUGUACAGAGAGGAAUCAGCCUCCAUGUUCUCUCGGCUGCCUCCCUCUCCGGUUCCAGUCUUCUCCUCUCUCUAAAAUUUUUCUCCCGCCUAUCCUUCCUUUCUCGUCCAAUGACAGGCCUCGUUCUAUCUUGUACCUGCCUUCACCUGCGUAAUGACGUCAUCCUACACUGGAUGGCAUUAGGGCACUACGUCUCAGGAUAGAGAGAUGGGUCAGUGGUUAAGAGCACUUGUUGAUCUUGCAGAGGACCCUCACAGUGACUCAGGUCUGUAAUUCUAGUUCUUCCUCUCCUGAACUCCAUGGAUGCCAGGCAGGUAAGUGCUACACAUAUAUACAACAGAGAAACUGCUUAGGCACAUAGAAAAAGAAAACAUAAAAUUGUUUUAAAGAUAUUUCUCGGGGCUGGGGAUUUAGCUCAGUGGUAGAGCGCUUACCUAGGAAGCACAAGGCCCUGGGUUCGGUCCCCAGCUCCGAAAAAAAGAACCAAAAAAAAAAAAAAAAGAUAUUUCUCCUCAAGACAAAGUUUUAGUAGGAUCGGAUCCGUUGGCUCUAAAAUUGAUAUUUGAAUCCAGAGAGUUUAGAAUAAUCCAAAACUAUAUAGAGUAGAAGAAUCAACAUGGAAGGUUUUCAUGACUUCUUCCUAAGGUAUACAGCUGCAGUAAUGAAGAUAGUUUGGGUCUGCUAUAGAGGCUAGUGCAAUAAAUAGUUCUCAACCUGUGGGUCCCGACCCCUCCGUGGAGUUGAAUGAUCCUUUUGCUGGAGUUGCCUAGGACCAUCCGAAAACAUAGAUUUUUACAAUAUAAUUUGUAACAGUAGCAAAGUUACCGUUAUGAAGUAGCUAUGAAAUAAUUUUAUGGUUGGGGGUCACCACGGCAUGAGGAACUGUAUUAAGGGGUCACAGCGUUAGGAAGGCUGAGAGCCACUGCUCUAGCUGAAGAUCCUGGAAAAGGGAUAGAUCAGGGAAAGACUAAGUAGGAGUGCGGUGGAACAGGAGCUUUGGUCUACUGAGGGAGACUUUGUGGUGACAGUGAAAAGGUAUCAUGGCAAUUUGCACUGACUGGUGUGUGAUGCAAUUACUUUAUGAGUUACAGUUCUUAAUGCCCUUGUUUAAUUACUUUUAACCCAUUUACAAAGGUCUAAUUAAUAAUUGAGCAUGUCCUGCACCUAAAAUAAAACACUGAGUUCAAACCUGACAUCCAUUCUCCUCCUAAGAGUGGUACUCUGAUUUCUUUGUGGAGAACCGCUCUCUUCCUCAUUCUCUGUAGAGUUGCUUCUACUCUUGGUGUUGGAGUGGAACGUUCUACUCCGCCCAGGGAUGACCAAGGGCAGCAUCAUUUUCCCUGGCUUUUCUGAGUGCUUCCUAGGUGGUCACGUGACCUAAGCUGAGCUCCUCUGCAUGAUUCUCACGGCCGUGGGAAAGAUUUCUAGUCCAGAAGCUUUGCAAAUAACUUCUUUGUUGUCCUUUACAUGAAUUUAUGCCUGGUUUUAGUUCUUUAUUUUUGAGACAGGAUUUCCUAUAGCUCAGUUUAGACUUUUGAAUAUAGCUGAGGCUGGCUUAAAACUCCUGACCUUCCUGCCUCUACCUCCUAAGAGCUAAGACUACACGGAUUUGGCGGACUUGUCUUUGGUCUUGUUUGAUGUUACUGUAAAAGAAAAUAACCUGAAACUCAAGCACACAACUUUUUAUUUUCUCUGUCUUAUCCCCGUUCCCUGAAUUUGUUCUUUAGAUGGUAGAGCUGGGGGCUGGAGAGAUGGUUCAGCGGAAUACUAGCUGUUUUCCCAGAGGGCUCGGGUUCAAUUUCCGGCACGCACAUGGUGGCUACAACCAUCACCAGACCUAGGAGAUCUGAUGACCUUACUAGGCACGGGCGUACAUACAGGCAAAAUACCCAUACAUUUUUUUUUUAGAUUUAUUUUAUUUAUUAUAUAUAAGUACACUGUAGCUGUCUUCAGACACACCAGAAGAGGGCAUUGGACACCAUUACAGAUGGCUGUGAGCCACCAUGUGGUUGCUGGGAAUUGAACUCAGGACCUCUGGAAGAGCAGUCAGUGCUCUUAACCGCUGAGCCAUCUCUCCAGCCCCCCAUAUAUUUUUUUAAAAUGGUAUAAACACUGUUUUGGUGUCAAGGAAAGCCAAUUACCGUGAAAAAAAUGACCCAAAACUCUUCAGCCUCAGAGUACUUCACUCUUUAGGAGGUGAAGGAGGAAGAGCAGUGUGAGGAAGUGGCUUACGAAUUUACACCUCUGUGUGAAACUCGCCUCCAUUCACAGUCUUGACUGGGAACUCAACGUGAUUUGCCCACUUGUCUGACUACAGCCCCAGAGAAAAAGAAGCUACACUUAAGAUCCAAGAUUUAAAAUGAGUCCUUGUUGAUUUCCAUUCAGCCAAAUCUGGUUAUUUCUCUCAUCUUCUCCCUCCCCCCCCCCUUUUUAUGUGUGAGAGAAAUGAAGACAGCUUAAUAAGAAGCGGGAAAGGCCCUUCUGAGGGAAAGCGGGGUAGUGAAUGGAAUGAAAAAGGAAGCUAAAAAUACCAGUCAGAGCAGGGAUCACUUCUUGCUCUCUGCCUCUCCAAAUAUCUUUUAGGUCUACCUCUAUCCCCUUCCUUUUCUCCUCGUCUGUUCUGCCUGGCCGCCUCUCCUCUGGACUCUUGCAGCCUGGAUCGCCAAGAACCAGGGUGCUCUAUGCCCUGACUUCGCCAAGAGCCCUGCAUGCAAAUGAGCCUCCUUCUUGAUGGGUAUACUGGACUUAGUGCUUGAUGAGAAAGAGAUCCGCCAAAGAGGUGCUGUGGCUGCAGAGAUGUGGGUCCGUGGCCUUCUUCACGGUCCACAGCUAUAUAACAGUAAUGGCUUCUCCUGGAUCUGCUGACCUGGAUUCCUAUCGAAGGGUUUGAAAUGGCCUGAGAUGAGCCAGGAUCAAAGACUGAAACCACGAGCUCGCUCUGGGGCUUCAAUCAAAUAAAGGUCGUAUGGUUGCUUCUGUCCAACUUGCGUUUGAGAGCUGCUUUCGUGGAGACCUUUGUUUGUAGAGGUGACCACAUGAAGAGGCAUAAGGCUUCUCCCACCAUGACGAUGGCAGGGCCGAACACACACCGAAGAGCACUGGAACAAGCCUCUGCAGGGCUCGGUAUCUUGCUGAGUUUUCCUCAGCCUCCUUACGUCACGGGUCGGCCACUUUCACUGUUGAAGAAUCCCCAGCAUGGCUUGUGUGUGGUCUCCUGACUCUGUCUCGGGAACUUUCAGGAGCUGACCUCCAGCUGGCCUCUGUAUUGAGCUUGGGAAGCCCUGGUUUUCACUUUUAUGCUGUUCUCUGUCUCAUGGGUCUAAAGCCGAGAGGCUCAGCUUCAUCUGCUCACAGCAUUCCAAGCUCAAUACCUCUCUCCUUCCCUUUUAUUUGCUGCCCACCUACCCACCUUACCCAGCAUUGGAUUGUAUUGAGCUGCCCAGGCUGGCCUGGGACUUGCUUGGUAGCUGUGAUGGUUUGAACAUGCUUGGCCCAAGGAGCAGCACAGUUAGGAGGUAUGGCCUUGUUACAGGAAGUGUGUCACUGUGGGUUGGGCUUUGAGACCCUCCUCCAAGCUGCCUGGAAGACAGUCUUCUCCUAGCCGCCAUUGGAUCAAGAUGUAGAACUCUCAGCUCCUCUAGCACCAUGCCUGCCUGGACACUGCUCUGUUUCCCACCUUGAUGAUAAUGGACUGAACCUCUGAACCUGCAAUUGCCACAAGCAUCUAAGGAGUGGUCGAGUGGGCUGAGAAAUGAUCAGAGGCCCAAGGCUGCUGCUAGUAGGGAAUGACUCAAGAAUGAGCCAGCAUUGAGGAUGCAUUUGUCAAGGCGAGAGAGGCACGCACGAUCACUGAGCAUGGCUUGAGAUUUCCACCUUAUAAAGGAAUGUCUCUGCCCUCCCAGGAGAUGAGUUGAGAGAUGCUCAACUUUAGAAAAUCCUCCCCUAAUUCCACAAAUGACAAACCCAGACUACUGUUUGCCAGUCAGCUCUCAGAAUAUUUAUGAGAGUACCACGCUUCUCAUGUUGCAAAGAAGGCCAAUUCAAAAUACUCAUGACUCUUCAGAUUAUUGAUGCUUGACCAGCAAGGUUACAAUGAGGGCUGGAGAUCCAACUCAGCUUCACCAGUGCUGGUCUAGUACUCUACCACUGAACUAUACUCCCAGCCUUCUACAGUGAUUCAUAGGAAGAGUUGUUUUCUACCAAAUUCAUGUUUAUUACAUAUAUGUUUAAAACACCUCUUGUCUUCAUUUGUGUUGAAUGUGGAACCCGUGUAAAAGACAAUAAAUACGGUCUCUCCUGAA